CGUGCAGCUUAGUUUCUUCGACGGAAAACA
rnacentral:piRNA from 1 species